GAUGAACGCUGGCGGCGUGCCUAAUACAUGCGAGUCGAGUGAACAGACGAGGAGCUUGCUCCUCUGACGUUAGCGGCGGACGGGUGAGUAACACGUGGAUAACCUACCUAUAAGACUGGGAUAACUUCGGGAAACCGGAGCUAAUACCGGAUAAUAUAUUGAACCGCAUGGUUCAAUAGUGAAAGACGGUUUUGCUGUCACUUAUAGAUGGAUCCGCGCCGCAUUAGCUAGUUGGUAAGGUAACGGCUUACCAAGGCAACGAUGCGUAGCCGACCUGAGAGGGUGAUCGGCCACACUGGAACUGAGACACGGUCCAGACUCCUACGGGAGGCAGCAGUAGGGAAUCUUCCGCAAUGGGCGAAAGCCUGACGGAGCAACGCCGCGUGAGUGAUGAAGGUCUUCGGAUCGUAAAACUCUGUUAUUAGGGAAGAACAAAUGUGUAAGUAACUAUGCACGUCUUGACGGUACCUAAUCAGAAAGCCACGGCUAACUACGUG
rnacentral:rRNA from 1 species